CCUACGGGCGGCUGCAGUGGGGAAUUUUGCGCAAUGGGCGAAAGCCUGACGCAGCAACGCCGCGUGGGUGAUGAAGGUCUUCGGAUCGUAAAACCCUGUCGUUGGGGACGAAGGUGGGGGCGUUAAUAGCGUUUCUGCUUGACGGUACCCGGAGAGGAAGCCCCGGCUAACUCUGUGCCAGCAGCCGCGGUAAUACAGAGGGGGCAAGCGUUAUUCGGAAUUAUUGGGGGUAAAGUUUGAGUAGGCGGUUGGAGUCCCCGAGCUCAAAUUGGGAACUGCAUCUGAGACUGGAAGGCUAGAGUACUGGGGAGGGUGGUGGAAUUCCUCGUGUAGCGGUGAAAUGCGUAGAGAUGAGGAGGAACACCAGUGGCGAAGGCGGCCACCUGGACAGUAACUGACGCUGAGGCGCGAAAGUGUGGGUAGCAAACAGGAUUAGAUACCCGGGUAGUC
rnacentral:rRNA from 1 species